UCUCUAUCGUCACCUUCAAAACCCUAACGCCGCUACGCAUCAUCUUCAGCAAAUCCAAAAAUCUUCUUCAGCAAAUCGACAAAUGCCAAUUAGGGUUUUUCACCCGAUUAGGGUUUUUCCACAUAAACUGGAUCCAUAUGCGGUACUGUGACGCUUCCACAUUCCACAUCAUCUUCAUCUUCUUCUGGUUUCUUCCCCUCUGUAUUCUCCAGCUUAUUCAGGAAUCAAUUUAAUAGUUUUCCUCAACAAAUCCUUAAUAAGAUUACUUUCUGCCGCCUAAUUACCCAGCCACUGAUUUCAGAUAUGCGUGGAGUAUUUGGUGAGUUCUGGUUGUUUUAAUUCAUUAAACUUCUUUCUCACACAACGAUUUGAUGUUAGUAUUAUAGUUUUAUCAUUAUGUUCAGAUUAGGAUUUGUUGUGGUUCAAAAUUGUUAAAAUUAGGAUAGGGUUUCAUCUUGAUGUAUGUGACAACAUGUAAUUCAAUUAUCAAUUUAGAUUAGGGUUUGUCUUUUGAAUUCAUCUCUAUUUGGUUUUGUAGAUUGAAGGUUCAUAUCUUGAAGUUGGUAAAAGUCUCAACAAUUGGGAUGUCUUUUCUCUUUUAUAUUUUUAAUUUAGGUUUUAUUUAUCCAUUUUUAUGUCAAUUUGUGUAUUUUCGUGUUUGUUUUUAAUGUGCAGACAACAUUUGAAAUGGUGACAAUGGAUUUGUGGCUGCUAACCAGUAUCACCAAAUAUCUGGAAUCUAUCUUUUUUAUUAAUUUUUCUCUAAUCUAUAUAAAAAUGUUACUUUCAGUUCUGAAAAACUAUUUGAAUCUGAUUAACCAACAGUUAGAGACAUUUUUUUCUCUAUAUCAUGGUCAAUAAUUCUUCUAGGUUCGAUAUGCAACUUAAAAAUGUUAAAAAAAUACCGAAUAUAUAUGUUUGUUUAUCAAAAUCUUGCAUUUUUUGUUCUUUCUGACUUUAUCGGAUGUUCCCCGUUUUUAUGUGGGCCAUAUGGAUCACCUGUGGGAUACUAAUUCGGUUGUAGAUGCAAUGGAUUGUGCCUUGGAGCUGAUUAAAAGUUAGAGAAAACUUUCAUUUUGACAUGGAAAACAGUGAAUUACGCUACGCCUCAGCAGCAGCAGGAAUCCGAGAGGGUAUAUAUUUGUCGAAUAUUUUGAGGAAUGUGAAGUUUUGAUACUCUCUUAACAUGAUCGCAAAGAACGUGAUUUGUGGUACGCUGUGAUGGAUUAUGAUGAUGAUGAAAAUGAUUGUGAUGAUGCUGAAGGGGAGAGUAUGUGCUUUUUAACUGUGAAUAAAUUUGUAAUUCAUUGUUUAUUUGAUUAUUUUUGUUUCAUCAUCAGAUAACUGAGGUUCAAUCGAAAAGCUCUAUUAUCGGUUAAUCUCUAUGGCCUAUUCAACGUCAUUCAUGCUCAUCGUCUACAGGUGGCCUUCAAGGAUGAAGGAGGAAUCACUGUUGUUCAUUUAAGUCGCGUAUUCAGAAGAUAUUGUUGAUGUCAUGGAUGUACCGACUCCUUUUGGCACUGCAUUAUGUAUGGCAGCUGCCAUAAAGACAGACCAUGAAGCCAGUGGUAGGGAACUGGUGCAGAUACUGCUUGCUGCUGGAGUUGAUGCUACUGUGCAAGACACCCAGCAUGGGCGGAUAGCUUUGCAUACUGAUGCAAUGACCAAACAGCGUUGGUUAAGAUCAUUCUUGAUGCUGGAGUUGAUGUGAACAUAAGAAAUGUGCAAAAACACAAUACCUCUACAUGUGGCAUUGGCAAGAGGAUCCAAUCAUGUGUUGGAAUGUGCAGAAACAAAUUGUAAUAUGCAGCAUCCUAUGAUUCCACCAUUCCAGUUCCUUAUCCAACAAUAUUCCCCGCCAUAAGUUUAUGUUCAUUUUGGCACACCUGUGGUAGUCCGCCAGAAGGUAGCAUCAAGUUUAAGAAAUGACAGUACCACUACUCAAAGUGCUAAGAGUGAGAAUCAUGGUUUUUAGAUGGUAUUCAAGGGUUUCCUGGUGGUGCUCUUAGACAUAUAGUCGUUAACCGCAUCUGGUGGUGCUUAUAGGUAUUAAUAUCAUGAUUUUUAGGUAGCGUUUGGUAUGACGUAAUGGAGAAAGGAAUGGAAUAACCCAUUCAAGGGUAAUAAAAAUAUGGAAUGUUUGGUUGUUGAAUGGAAUGAAAUCAAGUAUUACCUAAGGAAUCAAUUUCCUUGUAAACACCUUCCAUCUAUUCCUUGGCUGCCCCCAGUUUUUUUUCAUUCCGUCCUGUAAUGCAUCAGCUAUUCUCUAUUUCGCCCUCCCCUCAACAUCUCGCUCUGCUCUCCAAAAGUUCACAAUCGCCGUAUGAUAUCAACUGUAACAACAGCAAGUAGUCCUCCGGUCGCUAUUUGUAUCUCAUUUAAAUUCUGGUGAUGUUUGUUAUGCUCUCCGUUGACGAGGCCGAAACGGCAAGCAUGCACCAUUGAUAAACCAAUCGGUCGCCGGUUUUUGGGUGCUAGAUUUUAAUCAUCAAGAUGAAAUUUA